rnacentral:lncRNA from 10 species
AUCAACAAUGAAAAUCCGGUGGAGUCACUACCAUCUGAUGCUGGUUCAGGCCAUCAAGUGCUGAUACAGACUAUGCACAUUGCCACUUAUCUGUGGAGCAGCCAUGCCUCCAAUUUCUUAAGGUACUUCCAGGUCUACUCGGUCAGCUUCUCCAACCCUGGGCGAGGAGUUUGGCUCCGUGGUGAAGGAUGUCAUUGUCACCUUCAAGUCACUUACAUCUCAGAAGUUGGAUACCCAAAGAUGGUAAGAGAUCAACAUGGGGUUCCAGUCCAACCUCAUAGGUUCCAGCUUAUUAUAUCAGGUUUCAACUAAUAUCUGUCUUCUCAUAAUUAGCCAUUAUCUUUCCUUCCUGACUGCCUCCUCUUCUUCCUAUAAAGCCUA